ensembl:lncRNA
CAACUGGGCGGUUCUCCAAACAGCAUAUUAGAAACUUCUUCGAGCGUUGUUCUGUACCUUUAAGUAUUUUAAGUACUUUAAGCACACGACAAACUCACUGUUCAACGAGGUGUUAGUACAGUUAUUAACAAUCAUACGUGGAAAAAUAGGCUGUCAUUUUCUGCAGUUCGACAUUAAAGUGCUUUCAGUGUCGAAGAUUUCCAGCACAAUGUGAACACAUGUACAGAUUCCCCACCCUGUACUUUUACCUUAAUGCAUCUCAGAGCCAGUGAUGCUGCCAGACUGCGGCCAUCACACACACGCAAACAAGAGGCCGUUUUUGGAGUGCUUCCAGAACUUCUUGCUUUACCGGCUAAUUGAGGAUGACUUCAGACUCCAGAAACACAGCACAGUCCUCUGAGGUUUAAUGUGUGUGUGUGUGUGAGGUACGGUGGCAUGAGCAAUAGAUCGAAGGUGUUUUUAUAAGUCAUCUUGAGACACAUAAUUUUAGCUGUAUUUCUCUUUUGCAUUGCAAAAACCAUCCUUAUGUCAUCAAUAUGCAAAUUGAUAAAAUUGCCAAGAGUGCAGCUUUGUUUCCCUGAAGUGCAUUCGUUAGAAUCUUUUAGCAUAAUUGAUUCUCAGCACUGCAAUAAAACUGGUCAUUUUGUGAGGCUUCUAAGCCCCAUGGGUAUGCAGUUGGAGUUCAUGGAGUAACUUCCAGCAUUAAUCAUUAAGAAGUGUCCAUGCCUGAUAGACAGCGUUUGGCCUCCUGAGACGCACACUCACGCUACUAUUCCAAUAAUUGAUAUCUGUAUAAUAAGAGGGCGACAGUGGUUCGAUUGACCGUCGCCCUUUCCAAAUGUUUUCCGAUAAAGACUGACUUCUAAGGCGCUCCACAACACCUCGACGGAGAGGGGAAUUCAUGAUGUAUUGCUGCCUUGCAAAUAAAAACGGAUCCAUCACCUCCACCAGCCAUAACCCAGAUGGCCAGAAAAUUGGCUUUGUGUAGAGAUGUGGAUUCAGGCAUGAAUAUUAAUAGAAGACAGAUGUCCAGUCCAAGUAUGAUAUUUUGUCAUCUAGUGCUGUCAUACAUGAUGUAUCCAAACACAGAAGAUUAGAAAUGAAGAGAAGCAUCAGACACAGAUACAAAGGCAGAUGGUAAGUAGAGAGCAUUGUGCCAGCAACACCAAGGUCAUUGGACUGAUUCCCAGGGAAAGCAAGAACUGAAAAAAUAUGCACCUUGAAUGCAGUGUAUGUCACUUUGGAUAAAAGCAUCUAUCAAAUGCAUACUUGCAAAUGAAAAUGCAAUUAUGAG